rnacentral:RNase_P_RNA from 1 species
AAACAAUCCGGAGACGAUCACUGGUCCUUUCGGGGAUUAGAGGAAAGUCCGGACACCAUACGGCAGUAUGCCCGGUGAAAAUCGGGGAGCUUGGUUGUAAUGGCCGAGUGACGGAAAGUGUCGCAGAAAAUAAACCGCCUCGCAUUUGUGAGGUAAGGGUGAAAUGGCGAGGUAAGAGCUCACCGCCCCGGAGGUAACGACGGGGGCAGGAAAAACCCCAUGCGGUGCAAGACAGAACAGGACAAACGGGUUGCCGGCCCGGUGUCGUGGCUUCGGUCACGGUAUAAGUCCGGGUAUUAGUCGCAUCCUGUGUAUGCAGGAGAGGUCGGGUCCUAUGAGGAACCGGUUUCAGAUAAAUGAUCGUCCGCUGCAGUCGAAUACGGCUCAGUGAACAGAAUCCGGCUUACGGGGAUUGUUUCAGA